rnacentral:rRNA from 1 species
AAGGUAGUGUAGUUAUAGCUGCAUUAUUUGACGUUAGCGACAGAAGAAGCACCGGCUAACUCCGUGCCAGCAGCCGCGGUAAUACGGAGGGUGCGAGCGUUAAUCGGAAUUACUGGGCGUAAAGCGCAUGCAGGUGGUUUGUUAAGUUCAGAUGUGAAAGACCCGGGGCGUCAACCUCGGAAUAGCAUUUGAAACUGGCAGACUAGAGUACUGUAGAGGGGGGUAGGAAUUUCAGGUGUAGCGGUGAAAUGCGUAGAGAUCUGAAGGAAUACCGGUGGCGAAGGCGGCCCCCUCGGACAGAUACUGACACUCAGAUGCGAAAGCGUGGGGAGCAAACAGGAUUAGAUACCCUGGUAG